GCGCGAGUGGCGGAAUUGGUAUACGCAACAGUUUGAGGGGCUGUGCCAGUAAUGGCGUGAGGGUUCGAGUCCCUCCUCGCGCACCA
rnacentral:tRNA from 1 species